GACGAACGCUGGCGGCGUGCUUAACACAUGCAAGUCGAGCGGUAAGGACUUUCGGGGUACACGAGCGGCGAACGGGUGAGUAACACGUGGGUGAUCUGCCCUGCACUUCGGGAUAAGCCUGGGAAACUGGGUCUAAUACCGGAUAUGACCUCCUAUCGCAUGGUGGGUGGUGGAAAGAUUUAUCGGUGCAGGAUGGGCCCGCGGCCUAUCAGCUUGUUGGUGGGGUAAUGGCCUACCAAGGCGACGACGGGUAGCCGACCUGAGAGGGUGACCGGCCACACUGGGACUGAGACACGGCCCAGACUCCUACGGGAGGCAGCAGUGGGGAAUAUUGCACAAUGGGCGAAAGCCUGAUGCAGCGACGCCGCGUGAGGGAUGACGGCCUUCGGGUUGUAAGCCUCUUUCAGCAGGGACGAAGCGCAAGUGACGGUACCUGCAGAAGAAACACCGGCUAACUACGUG
rnacentral:rRNA from 1 species